rnacentral:rRNA from 1 species
UGGGGAAUUUUGGACAAUGGGCGCAAGCCUGAUCCAGCAAUGCCGCGUGCAGGAUGAAGGCCUUCGGGUUGUAAACUGCUUUUGUACGGAACGAAAAGCCUCUCUCUAAUACAGGGGGUGAUGACGGUACCGUAAGAAUAAGCACCGGCUAACUACGUGCCAGCAGCCGCGGUAAUACGUAGGGUGCAAGCGUUAAUCGGAAUUACUGGGCGUAAAGCGUGCGCAGGCGGUUUUGUAAGACAGUGGUGAAAUCCCCGGGCUCAACCUGGGAACUGCCAUUGUGACUGCAAGGCUGGAGUGCGGCAGAGGGGGAUGGAAUUCCGCGUGUAGCAGUGAAAUGCGUAGAUAUGCGGAGGAACACCGAUGGCGAAGGCAAUCCCCUGGGCCUGCACUGACGCUCAUGCACGAAAGCGUGGGGAGCAAACAGGAUUAGAUACCCUGGUAGUCCACGCCCUAAACGAUGUCAACUGGUUGUUGGGGAUUUAUUUCUUCAGUAACGAAGCUAACGCGUGAAGUUGACCGCCUGGGGGAGUA